AGGUGGGUAGCUCAAUUGGUAGAGCAACGGUCUCCAAAACCGUAGGUUGCAGGUUCGAUUCCUGUCCCACCUGCCA
rnacentral:tRNA from 1 species